AUUGAACGCUGGCGGCAGGCUUAACACAUGCAAGUCGAGCGGUGUGAUGGUGCUUGCACUAUCACUUAGCGGCGGACGGGUGAGUAAUGCUUAGAAAUCUGCCUAUUAGUGGGGGACAACAUCUCGAAAGGGAUGCUAAUACCGCAUACGUCCUACGGGAGAAAGCAGGGGAUCACUUGUGACCUUGCGCUAAUAGAUGAGCCUAAGUCGGAUUAGCUAGUUGGUGGGGUAAAGGCCUACCAAGGCGACGAUCUGUAGCGGGUCUGAGAGGAUGAUCCGCCACACUGGGACUGGGACACGGCCCAGACUCCUACGGGAGGCAGCAGUGGGGAAUAUUGGACAAUGGGGGGAACCCUGAUCCAGCCAUGCCGCGUGUGUGAAGAAGGCCUUAUGGUUGUAAAGCCCUGUCGAUAGAGAAAAAGUCUUUACACAAUAAUAAGGUGUAGAGGUGAUUGUACCUAUAGAGGAAGCACCGGCUAACUCCGUGCCAGCAGCCGCAGUAA
rnacentral:rRNA from 1 species